rnacentral:rRNA from 1 species
GUAAUACCUUCCCUGUUCAUUGCAGGUUGGUUAUUUGUUAGUACGGGUUUAGCUUAUGACGUGUUUCGAAGUGUUCGGCCAAACGAGUAUUUCACGGAAUGCCGACAAAGAAUUCCAUUAAUAAAUGACCGUUUUGUUUCUUUAUAA